rnacentral:rRNA from 1 species
GGUUAAGCGACUAAGCGUACACGGUGGAUGCCCUGGCAGUCAGAGGCGAUGAAGGACGUGCUAAUCUGCGAUAAGCGUCGGUAAGGUGAUAUGAACCGUUAUAACCGGCGAUUUCCGAAUGGGGAAACCCAGUGUGAUUCGUCACACUAUCAUUAACUGAAUCCAUAGGUUAAUGAGGCGAACCGGGGGAACUGAAACAUCUAAGUACCCCGAGGAAAAGAAAUCAACCGAGAUUCCCCCAGUAGCGGCGAGCGAACGGGGAGCAGCCCAGAGCCUGAAUCAGUGUGUGUGUUAGUGGAAGCGUCUGGAAAGGCGCGCGAUACAGGGUGACAGCCCCGUACACAAAAAUGCACAUGCUGUGAGCUCGAUGAGUAGGGCGGGACACGUGGUAUCCUGUCUGAAUAUGGGGGGACCAUCCUCCAAGGCUAAAUACUCCUGACUGACCGAUAGUGAACCAGUACCGUGAGGGAAAGGCGAAAAGAACCCCGGCGAGGGGAGUGAAAAAGAACCUGAAACCGUGUACGUACAAGCAGUGGGAGCACGCUUAGGCGUGUGACUGCGUACCUUUUGUAUAAUGGGUCAGCGACUUAUAUUCUGUAGCAAGGUUAACCGAAUAGGGGAGCCGAAGGGAAACCGAGUCUUAACUGGGCGUUAAGUUGCAGGGUAUAGACCCGAAACCCGGUGAUCUAGCCAUGGGCAGGUUGAAGGUUGGGUAACACUAACUGGAGGACCGAACCGACUAAUGUUGAAAAAUUAGCGGAUGACUUGUGGCUGGGGGUGAAAGGCCAAUCAAACCGGGAGAUAGCUGGUUCUCCCCGAAAGCUAUUUAGGUAGCGCCUCGUGAAUUCAUCUCCGGGGGUAGAGCACUGUUUCGGCAAGGGGGUCAUCCCGACUUACCAACCCGAUGCAAACUGCGAAUACCGGAGAAUGUUAUCACGGGAGACACACGGCGGGUGCUAACGUCCGUCGUGAAGAGGGAAACAACCCAGACCGCCAGCUAAGGUCCCAAAGUCAUGGUUAAGUGGGAAACGAUGUGGGAAGGCCCAGACAGCCAGGAUGUUGGCUUAGAAGCAGCCAUCAUUUAAAGAAAGCGUAAUAGCUCACUGGUCGAGUCGGCCUGCGCGGAAGAUGUAACGGGGCUAAACCAUGCACCGAAGCUGCGGCAGCGACGCUUAUGCGUUGUUGGGUAGGGGAGCGUUCUGUAAGCCUGCGAAGGUGUGCUGUGAGGCACGCUGGAGGUAUCAGAAGUGCGAAUGCUGACAUAAGUAACGAUAAAGCGGGUGAAAAGCCCGCUCGCCGGAAGACCAAGGGUUCCUGUCCAACGUUAAUCGGGGCAGGGUGAGUCGACCCCUAAGGCGAGGCCGAAAGGCGUAGUCGAUGGGAAACAGGUUAAUAUUCCUGUACUUGGUGUUACUGCGAAGGGGGGACGGAGAAGGCUAUGUUGGCCGGGCGACGGUUGUCCCGGUUUAAGCGUGUAGGCUGGUUUUCCAGGCAAAUCCGGAAAAUCAAGGCUGAGGCGUGAUGACGAGGCACUACGGUGCUGAAGCAACAAAUGCCCUGCUUCCAGGAAAAGCCUCUAAGCAUCAGGUAACAUCAAAUCGUACCCCAAACCGACACAGGUGGUCAGGUAGAGAAUACCAAGGCGCUUGAGAGAACUCGGGUGAAGGAACUAGGCAAAAUGGUGCCGUAACUUCGGGAGAAGGCACGCUGAUAUGUAGGUGAAGUCCCUCGCGGAUGGAGCUGAAAUCAGUCGAAGAUACCAGCUGGCUGCAACUGUUUAUUAAAAACACAGCACUGUGCAAACACGAAAGUGGACGUAUACGGUGUGACGCCUGCCCGGUGCCGGAAGGUUAAUUGAUGGGGUCAGCGCAAGCGAAGCUCUUGAUCGAAGCCCCGGUAAACGGCGGCCGUAACUAUAACGGUCCUAAGGUAGCGAAAUUCCUUGUCGGGUAAGUUCCGACCUGCACGAAUGGCGUAAUGAUGGCCAGGCUGUCUCCACCCGAGACUCAGUGAAAUUGAACUCGCUGUGAAGAUGCAGUGUACCCGCGGCAAGACGGAAAGACCCCGUGAACCUUUACUAUAGCUUGACACUGAACAUUGAGCCUUGAUGUGUAGGAUAGGUGGGAGGCUUUGAAGUGUGGACGCCAGUCUGCAUGGAGCCGACCUUGAAAUACCACCCUUUAAUGUUUGAUGUUCUAACGUUGACCCGUAAUCCGGGUUGCGGACAGUGUCUGGUGGGUAGUUUGACUGGGGCGGUCUCCUCCUAAAGAGUAACGGAGGAGCACGAAGGUUGGCUAAUCCUGGUCGGACAUCAGGAGGUUAGUGCAAUGGCAUAAGCCAGCUUGACUGCGAGCGUGACGGCGCGAGCAGGUGCGAAAGCAGGUCAUAGUGAUCCGGUGGUUCUGAAUGGAAGGGCCAUCGCUCAACGGAUAAAAGGUACUCCGGGGAUAACAGGCUGAUACCGCCCAAGAGUUCAUAUCGACGGCGGUGUUUGGCACCUCGAUGUCGGCUCAUCACAUCCUGGGGCUGAAGUAGGUCCCAAGGGUAUGGCUGUUCGCCAUUUAAAGUGGUACGCGAGCUGGGUUUAGAACGUCGUGAGACAGUUCGGUCCCUAUCUGCCGUGGGCGCUGGAGAACUGAGGGGGGCUGCUCCUAGUACGAGAGGACCGGAGUGGACGCAUCACUGGUGUUCGGGUUGUCAUGCCAAUGGCACUGCCCGGUAGCUAAAUGCGGAAGAGAUAAGUGCUGAAAGCAUCUAAGCACGAAACUUGCCCCGAGAUGAGUUCUCCCUGACUCCUUGAGAGUCCUGAAGGAACGUUGAAGACGACGACGUUGAUAGGCCGGGUGUGUAAGCGCAGCGAUGCGUUGAGCUAACCGGUACUAAUGAACCGUGAGGCUUAACCUU